GGCUUUGGGAAGUUUGCUCGAACGAUUAUUCCAACUAGUAAACUCAAGGAACUUCAAGUGAAUUUAGUUUGGUCAAGUUCCGCAGGUGUCGGGAAGCCUUUGAUCCCAGCGAGAACUCGCAUGCUUUUAGCUCUCAGGAUCAAUGUUUUAGCAAAAGGAUACAGUGGAAUUUCACUGGAAACUCUCCAGCAAGUUAUUGAAGCAUUUAAUGGUAAAAAAGAUAUUUAGAAAUGAAUACAGCUGUUUUAUCCUUUAUAUUACAAUGGUGCCUAGAG